rnacentral:rRNA from 1 species
AGCGAACGCUGGCGGCAGGCCUAACACAUGCAAGUCGAACGAACCCUUCGGGGUUAGUGGCGGACGGGUGAGUAACACGUGGGAACGUGCCUUUAGGUUCGGAAUAACUGAGGGAAACUUGUGCUAAUACCGAAUGUGCCGUUCGGGGGAAAGAUUUAUCGCCUUUAGAGCGGCCCGCGUCUGAUUAGCUAGUCGGUGAGGUAAUGGCUCACCAAGGCUACGAUCAGUAGCUGGUCUGAGAGGAUGACCAGCCACAUUGGGACUGAGACACGGCCCAAACUCCUACGGGAGGCAGCAGUGGGGAAUCUUGCGCAAUGGGCGAAAGCCUGACGCAGCCAUGCCGCGUGGAUGAUGAAGGUCUUAGGAUUGUAAAAUCCUUUCACCGGUGAAGAUAAUGACUGUAGCCGGAGAAGAAGCCCCGGCUAACUUCGUGCCAGCCGCCGCAGUAAUAC